CUACGGGGGGCAGCAGUGGGGAAUUUUGGACAAUGGGCGCAAGCCUGAUCCAGCCAUUCCGCGUGAGUGAAGAAGGCCUUCGGGUUGUAAAGCUCUUUCGCAAGGGAAGAAAACUUAUCCUCUAACAUAGGGUGAGGUUGACGGUACCUUGAUAAGAAGCACCGGCUAACUACGUGCCAGCAGCCGCGGUAAUACGUAGGGUGCGAGCGUUAAUCGGAAUUACUGGGCGUAAAGCGUGCGCAGGCUGUUUUGUAAGUCAGAUGUGAAAUCCCCGAGCUCAACUUGGGAACUACGUUUGAAACUACAAGACGAGAAUAUGUCAGAGGGGGGUAGAAUUCCAUGUGUAGCAGUGAAAUGCGUAGAGAUGUGGAGGAAUACCAAUGGCGAAGGCAGCCCCCUGGGAUAAUAUUGACGCUCAUGCACGAAAGCGUGGGGAGCAAACAGGAUUAGAUACCCGCGUAGUC
rnacentral:rRNA from 1 species